rnacentral:tRNA from 1 species
GCCUUCGUGAUGUAAUUGGAAGCACACGCGACACGUAUUCGAGAGGUUCAGGGUUCGAAUCCCGGUGAGGGCA